rnacentral:ncRNA from 2 species
GGAGGAACCUCUGGAGAGAACCGUUAAAUCGGUCGCCGAAGGAGCAAGCUCGAUCCUCUUGGACGAGUGAAACUCUCAGGCAAAAGGACAGAGGAGUGGAA